UUAACUUCAUAAUCUACACCUUGUAUAUGCACGAGAAUAUGGCUCGAGCGUCUCUACCAAACUACCUUAAAUAGUUUGUCUACAAGGAUUAUAAAAUAAGGU
rnacentral:ncRNA from 2 species